CCGGGGGCGAGCGCCUGGCCUUCGGGGCCGUCUGGCUCACCGGGACGGAGAUCGGGUGGGGAGAGGUCCGCACGCGGUGGUCGCGGAUCCGCCGCCUCCGGACC
rnacentral:tRNA from 1 species